CACAUUACAGCUUUUCCUUCGAACCUCUUGGCCGUGCUGCCCGGUCGGUAACAAUGGAAACGGAAGCAAACAGUACCGUUGUUCGCUUUCGAAAGUUUCCCCGACAAACAUUUAUAUUGGCUAGAAACUGUCACAUUAUUUCGGGCGUUACGGUAACGGUAAAAGGUGUCGCUGUCAUGGGGUACUUGAGAGAAAUCGACCUAGCGCCACAAUGGAUUGUUUACGCGUCAGAUUAUCCCAUGGAAGAUUUUCGUCAAAGCUAAUUAAAGGAAAAUGGACUCUCUUUUCAGCAAGUAAAGUGAAAAAAUAAAUAAGGACCGACUCUCGUAGUAGACGCCUUAAUCUGCAGUAUAUUUCAGAUAGAGAAAGAGACGUCCCACGUGACGUGAGGGAGACGAUGUAACGCCGCGACGCUCAAAAGUAGGAGACGCUUUCCGGGUAGCGUCGUACGGCGUCGGUGUGAAUUACAGAGAAAUUGCGCUCGGUUCUCGAAUCUCGUAGUAACGAUGAUGGUCUAUAUCUAAAAAUAUCGCGCGGCAAUCGUGUUCUCGAAUACGUGCCGAAUAGGAUGAAAAAUCGCACGAUGUUUUCUCGAAGGUUCGUAACGCCGACGUGGAGGAGGAUAAGAGGAGAGCCGAGGGCGAGCAGAGCGGGAGAUAGAGAGAGGGAAAAUGAACGCGCGCGAGAAAAGGUAAUGGCGAAGCAAGGAAGAAAAAGAGGGACACGCGGUGUGUGUACGAGAAGUAGGAGAUGAUGGCGGAGAAGUAGACGUAGUAGGAGGAAAAAGGGAAGGAGAUACAUGGCGUUGGAGUCGACUGCGUGGGUCACGUCGCAAAGGAAGGCGUUCGGCGUCGUGUUUAUGCAUGCAACCCGGUAAACAAUUUCGUUGGAGAGUUAGAGGCAAACUGUGGCACAGGCUACCCGGAAUAUAGUAUAUCUGAACGAGUCAGAGAGAGGGAGAGGGGGAAGGUCGUCCAGGAUGGCGGGCUCUACGCUACUCAUGAGCGGACUCCAAGCUACGUAAGAACACGCGAGGGAGAGCGACGAACGCCGCGAGCUCGAAAAAUGGAGUCGCUGGGAAAACGCCGGCCGGCAUUCUCCCCUCACACAUGUCCAAGAUCAUUCGCCCGCGUAACUCCGUUACGCGACCCGUCCUCACUUCACGCAACUUUGCGAUACGCAACUGCAGCCAGUAAUUGUAACGAGGAACACGAUAUGAUUCACAAUGAGCGACAACGACGUAACGACGAUUGCGAUGAAUAACGAAGAAACACACGUAGUAAAGAUCCUCCGAACACGAGACACACUUCCAAAUGCAUAAGACCCGAAGUCGUAGAGAUAUAAAUUCACUGUUAACUCA